UACAGAGGGUGCAAGCGUUGCUCGGAUUUACUGGGCGUAAAGCGUACGCAGACGGUGAGAAAGGUCGGAUGUGAAAGCCCCGGGCUCAACCCGGGAACUGCAUCCGAAACCAUCUCGCUAGAGUAUGGGAGAGGGAAGCAGAAUUCCUGGUGUAGAGGUGAAAUUCGUAGAUAUCAAGGAGGAAUACCUGCGGCGGAAGGCGGCUUCCUGGCCCAUUACUGGACGUCAGUACCGAAAG
rnacentral:rRNA from 1 species